rnacentral:rRNA from 1 species
UGGGGAAUUGUUCGCAAUGGGCGCAAGCCCGACGACGCAACGCCGCGUGAUGGAUGAAGUCCCUCUGGGACGUAAACAUCUUUUAUGAGGGAGAAAGUUUAUUGAUAGUACCUCACGAAUAAGGGGUUGCUAAACUCGUGCCAGCAGCAGCGGUAAUACGAGUGCCCCGAGCGUUAUCCGGAAUCAUUGGGCGUAAAGGGUGUGUAGGUGGCAUUGUUAGUCACACGUUAAACCCUGGGGCUUAACCCCAGAUCUGCGUGUGAUACGGCAAAGCUAGAGGAUGGCAGGGAUGUAUGGAACUCAUGGAGUAGGGGUGAAAUCCGUUGAUAUCAUGGGGAACACCGAAAGCGAAGGCAGUACAUUGGGCCACUCCUGACACUGAAACACGAAAGCGUGGGUAGCGAAUGGGAUUAGAUACCCCAGUAGUCCCUGAGCGGGCUGGCAAGGCGCAU